AUCACAAGGUCAAGAGAUCGAGACCAUCCUGUCCAAUCUGUCGCAGGUGGCGUGAUUUGAUUUGUGUGAAGGCAAUGAAAUGAUACACAGAUACACCGAAGCCUCCCAAAAGAAUCCUGGUUCCAAGACUCAAGAAGAUGGAUUAAUGUUUUUCCAUUAAUUGUUGGAAUUUAUGCCAUUUUUUACUAUGUGCCAUCAAUUUUAAAGCACUUCUGAAAAGACAUAACAAUCUAAAUGAGAUGGCAUUUUAAAUUCAUAAAAAUAUAGUAUUUUCCUCAACUUUUA